rnacentral:lncRNA from 1 species
ACGAACUUGGAGGUGGCCAUCGUGAAUCGCCACCGGGUAUGUAAUUGUUUUCUAUUCUUUUCCCCUGAAUUUGUACUCUCGUUUUGGGUCCUUUGUAAUGUUGUGGGAUUUGUAUUCUUUUCCCUCAAGGUGAUGAAUCAGAGAAGCGAGGGACUUAAUUCUUCAGUGAGGCCAGCAGUGUAUCCCAUUACUUGCAUUUCCUCUUUAGUAUGCUGACGAGAUCUCGAGAGUCUUGGAUGCUUCUUUCUCAGUCCGUUUAAAUAGAUCAUUAUUUUACCAGGUUGUACACGUUUUUUCUCUCAAUGUGCGCUCUCACAAUUAUAUACCUUUUCCGAUCUUGAAAGUGAUUUGUUGAUGGUAUAGGAUAUCACUCAAACAAUGUAUUCUCAUCAAGGAUUGGGAUGUGUUCUCCAUACAACAUAUUGUCCAGGGUAUGUUUUUCCAUCCAAUAAACUGAACUGCCUCAUAGAAAAUUAUAUGUAAUACCCUCUUCUCCAUAAAUAAAUGGUAUUUACUUGGCGGUAGGCCAUGCUUGGCAGCCUCUCCUCCUCCCGGUCUUCGGUGCUUCUGCAAGAACUUAGCACCACUAUGGUCGAGCCACAUAGCACACGAGCGAGCUACAACGGGCGCACCACUUCGUGGUCGAGCCACAUAGCACACGAGCGAGCUACAACAGUGCACCACUUCGUAAGUUAUUUUGCUCCUUCUCUGAUAAAUUCGUAAUUAGAGACCUCCAUGUGUAUAUAACUAUAUAUAUACUUGGACUCAUUGGAAUUCAUGUAGCUAUUCUUCAUAGUAUUAAACACGUUAAAUUAGUUGAUGAUUCAUUGGUAUAUUGAUAGAAGAAUUCUACAGAUUUAUCUAUGAUUUUAUGAUUAUGUUCUUACUACAGUUUAUGGUUUAAUAUGUAUCUUGCAAACUAUGUAGGCAAAAAUUAUCACGUAUUUAAGAGCUGAGAGAAUGGUGUCAAAAUGUAGUUGAUUACCUUUCAAAUUGUGUUACAGGAUUCAACGAUUAACGUGUAUACAAUAUACUUUCAUGUCUACUUGAUUCUUCUAUAAAGAAUGUGGAUCCACGUGGUUUGGAAUGUUAAAUAUGUGCUCAUACGAUGUUUGAAUUGAGCAAUCUAUUUACCGACGGCCGAUUUUUAAUGAUGCUUAUGAAGUUGUGAAAUUCUGCGAGGAAAAGCUUGUGAGUGGAAUUAAUGAGCAUGGUGCUUGUGAUGUUUCCUUCAAAGUUCUUUUGCAAUCAAUCAAGCAUUCCUAUAUUCUUAUGUGUAUAAAUUCUCCUCUAAAUCCUACAUAACAAAAAAGGUUGCAUACAUAUGUGUUACAAUCUAUUUCUUUCAUAUUGUUCACCUGUUUCAUUGUAUACAUGCACUUUGGAUGGCAGAUGUUAAUGUUGGUUGGUUGCCACAUAAGUUAAAAAGGUUAAAAUCUUGAGUUGUAUCGAGCAUGGUCCUUUGCUUGAAGUUUUUGAUGGACUAUAUAACAUUGACCAUUCAAUCAUUCCAUCAGAAUGAGACAAGGGCACUAUUACAUGCUUCGACAGAGAUUGAAAGUAUAUUGCUUUAUCGAUUCUGAUAUAACGUUUCUUCUUAUUCUUGAUCGUACCUAUAACAUGAUACAAGAAAUUAUUUUGAAAGCUCGUUCAGUCGCACGACUUGGUGACUAGAGCUGCAUUCUGAAUAUUGUACUUAAUUGAAGCACCACCAUAUUUUAGUGUGUGGAAUGUGCCCGUGUGAUAAUCUAUAUAGAAGCUACAAAAAGUUUAUCUUAAAAUUUGAUUGUAUAGUAUUAGAUAUCACUGUAAAUUUUAAUCUCUCGCCAGACACCAAGAUUGGACAAGACACUUAAUAGUAGAGAUUGUGCAAGGUGAAGGAUGAGGAAGAUAACAC